UUAAUUCAAGUUUCAAGUAACUAAUAAUUAACAAUAAAAUAUGAUAAAGAAAAGAGAAUAUUAUGUUGAUAAAUUUCUGUACAAUGUAGAGUUAAUUCCAUUGUUUUAUCAUAAAUAUCAGUUUCGUAGAUUUGAAUAGACAUCGUUAAUGAUUUAACGAUUUCUGCAUCUCUUGAGUUAUAUUGACAAAUUAUUGCGUUUAAUUAUUUUGUUGUUUACAAUGUUUGCUAGUCAAAAAUAAAUUAUUUUUAGGUGAUGAUAGAAAUAAUAUGUUAAGAACUCCGAUUUGUCUUUCCUCUAUUUAAUAUUCCACUUAAAAAUCAAUCUCUUCCUGCAUAUUUGAAUACGUGCUGCAAUUCUUUUACCAUUUUAUUUUAUUUCAAGCGAGGAACAAUCGAGGUGUAUCGAUCCCAUUAUCGAAGGAUGGAGGUCGAUUGUCGCUUACCUCAUUGAAAGCGGCUCUCUCGUCAGCGAGCCGUACCGUAUCAGCACGCCGUCGCUCCUCCUUUUCCGGCUUUCGUAAUCAACAUGAUCACACCAAAGAUAGGAUCGCGUAACGCCGCCUUGGCCACGAUGGCGAUCAACGCCGCAGCAAGCGAUACGCUCUCGCAAACACGCGGCCGUUAGUUACGAACAUUUGCAUGUCGCGAAACACACGCGUCGAGUAAUAGAUCAGCACUUGUUCGAUCGUUCGGACGACCUCAGGUGAACGCGCUCAAGUACCAGCCGCUUGCAUCGACUUGCAUUUGCAUUUUUAACACUCGGCUGCACUGUUAGGACCGUUCUCCAGACGUAGGAUGAAAAACCGCAGAGGCGCGGAGAGAACGCGUGUGAUCUCGAGGAAUACGAGGACUCCGGCGGCUUACCAUUAUAAAUAGUUGCGACCGAAACGACAAGAGGCUCACAAGCCAGUAUAACAGACGAGGAAAGAGCGAGAGCGACAAUGAACAGAGGGGACGAGGAAAGAGGACAGCGGUCAAGCCGGCGGGAAAUAGCGACACGUCAGACUAGCGAUAGACUCGAACAUCUCGAGAGAAUGAUUUGAGCGGGUUCACCUGAGGAGACUUGUCGCGUGUACGGGCGCGUGGGCGACGAAUCUAAACUUGGAUUGAACUUUAAACGAGUCUCUCGAAAUUGAGAAGCUCGUGCUCGCGAACUGUCGUAUAGAAGCAUAUUAUUAAUCACACAAACAUAAACGUGUAAUUUUAUACUUGCGCUCUUGAACUUUACAUUCGUGAAAUUUGUUAUUCUUUUUUUUUUGCUCUAAUUACACUUUUUUUUAGAAAGUACAAACUGUUUUCCCAAUUCGUCAUACAUAUAACUACUUGUAUAUAUUUUUUUUAAAUAAACUCUGCGAAUAUCUGGUCGUUAUGCUACUGAUACGCGAGGAUUUAAUCUUCCUAGGUACUGCUUAGCUCCUCUACUACUCUUACUUAGGUGGACUUAGCAGACAAGUGAACAAUUAAUCACUAACAAGAGCAGCGGAUCGACUCCGUUGCUAAUCGCACCGCUUGCUUCGUUCCGUCCUCGUGCCACCGUAUCAUUGUUCUCAUCCGCAAACCUGCCUGCAAUUGUAAUUUAUAACGAAUGAUGUUGCGUCCGUUUCUGCUCGGCUCACGUGACACGAUUCUGUUCGCUUCACUUUAUCGAGUCGCGAGCCGUCUCCGACGAAAAUCUAUUUCCGAUGUGUUGAUUUCUUUUUGGCAUCGUAUUUUGGCUCGUUUGCGCACCGCUGCUAUUUCCGAGUAAUUAUUCCCACAUUUAUGUGAAUCUCGGUUCAAGUAACGGACUGGUUCUAUAUACCGUUUGUAUAAAAGUAAAGAAAAUUUUUCUUUAUUCUAAAUUUCAAUUUUCUUUAUUUUAAAUAAACUUGGAACUUUUAUGUCCAAAAUUAAAAAGUUUGAAAUUAUUUGUUAUCACAUUCAUUUAAAAUGACCCGCCGCGAAAUAUUUAAGUCAUUAAAUUUUUUUGCGUUGAGAAACUGUUGUUAAUAUAACUACGCAUUGUUUCGUUAAUAUACUCAUUAUGACGUCAAAGCGUAAUUAUUGCAAUAUCUUGAUAAUCAAAGCCGCAAGUGAAUCAGCAUAUCCGUAUAGCCAAGGUCGACACAUCAUAUUUGUGCUAAAGACUGGAAAAGUAUUGCACGACGCGAUGCACUUCGAAUUGACAUCGAAUUAACAUCAAGCAUUUUGAAACUUGAGAAUAUUUCAAAAUCGUGAAGAAUUAUUGCGGGGGAAAAUAUUUGGUUUGAAGAAUAUUAUUGAAUCAGUGUGUUUCUUUUUGGAUAGAUGCUUUUACUAUGUUAUAUGUGUUCUUGUUUAUCGAAGAACGCAGAACUCGGGAUGGUAAGUACAUGCUGUAUGGGCGCGCGAAACUCUGCAUGCUCGUAACGGAUUUUAUAUGAUAAACCGUUUUAUUUUAAUGACUCGUGUGCCUGCGUUUGUACAAUAAUAAUAAUAAUAAUAGUAACAGAAGUAGUAGUAGUAGUAGCAAUAGUAACAAUUACAAUAGGAGUAGUAGUAGUAUAAUAAUAGAUAUAGUAGUAGUAGUAAUAGUAGUAGCCGCGCAAUGAAUAGAAGUGACAGUCCACAUACGGUAAUAGUAUGGUCUACUACAGAAGUAGCAUCCGUCUCGUCCCAAACUCAGCGUUGGAAUUUUGAGAAAAAGCUUAACGAUGACGCUUAGGAUGGCGACGAAGAUCUGCAGCACUUCCGGAAGUGGAUAAAAGACGUCGCAGACGUACAGGCAUUUCUACUCUCGCCACUGACUACGUUCGACGGUUCGAGAUACGUUAACGAAACUGUGCGAUGAUCAAUUUUUUUUUUUUGAAAUACGCUUUUUAAUAUUUGUGAAAGAUGCCGAAGCAAGUUAGAAG